rnacentral:rRNA from 1 species
GACGAACCGUGCAAACGUUGUUCGGAAUCACUGGGCUUAAAGGGCGCGUAGGCGGACUCGCCAGUCUGUGGUGAAAGCCCCCGGCUUAACCGGGGAAGUGCCAUGGAUACUGCGAGUCUGGAGGAGGGUAGGGGCAUCUGGAACGCUGGGUGGAGCGGUGAAAUGCGUUGAUAUCCAGCGGAACUCCGGUGGCGAAGGCGAGGUGCUGGACCCUUUCUGACGCUGAGGCGCGAAAGCCAGGGGAGCAAACGGG